UACGUAGGGUGCAAGCGUUAAUCGGAAUUACUGGGCGUAAAGCGUGCGCAGGCGGUUAUGCAAGACAGAUGUGAAAUCCCCGGGCUCAACCUGGGAAUGGCAUUUGGGACUGCAAGGCUGGAGUGCGGCAGAGGAGACUGGAAUUCCUGGUGUAGCAGUGAAAUGCGUAGAUAUCAGGAGGAAUACCGAUGGCGAAGGCAGGUCUCUGGGCUGACACUGACGCUCAUGCACGAAAGCGUGGGGAGCAAACAGG
rnacentral:rRNA from 1 species